rnacentral:lncRNA from 1 species
CAGCCACCCAGGGCUCAGAGGAUGGUGAAGGUGAAUCCACGGUACGCCUAGGAUAUACACAGAGGAGAAGAGUGAGGUGGACAUUGGGCAGCCAGUGUGCAGCUAUUUUCACCGACCGGCUCCACCGCCUUGGCAGGGCCAAGCAUCGAAGCAGAGGCUCGCUGCAGCCAGACACUGGGCUGCUCCACUGGCGACCCAAGCCACAAAGCCUCAGUUCUGGAAGGGGAUGGUCCACUAAUUCGUGCUCAGCUUUAAAAUGGGAGGACAACUCAGCAAUUUGUUGGAGGGCUAAACAAGUUAACACAGGUAAAAUGCAAGCAUCCAUAGAAAGCAUAUACAGUGAAUAUGGACCGGAUGGGAAUAAAAGGGAGCUGUCUGGAGUGCUGGAAACAUUCCGUAUCUUCAUCAAGUGGUAGUUAUGUGGUGGAUAAGGAACUACUGUGGACAAGAACCAGCUUUAAAUUGUUAGUGCCUCUUAACCGAGGAGGUGAAAGACUUGUAUCCUGAAAACUACAAAAUGUUGCUGAAAGAAACUAAAGAAGACAUCAAUAAAUGGAAAGACAUACUGUGUUCAUGGAUUGGAAGACAAUAUUGUUUAGAUGUUAAUACUACCCAAAGAGAUCAACAGAUUCAUUAUAGGUGAGCUGGGCAGCCAGGAGAACUCCUACAUGUUCUGAAGUCCUGAAGGAGCUUCAAGGAUUUGAGUCUUGGGGGCAUGCAGAAGGGCUCUCUCCUUCCCACUGGAAUGUGGUUGAGCAGGUUCCAGUGACAUCCUUUUUUGUGGAGACCCAGGAUCCCACCCAGGAUGACUGCCAGGGUUGGAGAGGAAGAGAACACAGAGAGGCAACAAGAGGGUGAGUUGAUAUGGAAGAGAGAACACAAAAUACAUUUCUCCCAGGAAUCCUCCUGUCUUAUCAUUGGCUCUUACUAUAGAAGCUGGCAUAAAACAAUACAGGCCUACUGAGGACUGACUGUGCAUGCAGGUGAGUGAACGUGUUACUGGAAACAGGUCCCCAUCCAGACCUCAAGAGAGGGUUCUUGGAUCUUGCACAAGAAAGGACUCAGGGC